rnacentral:tRNA from 1 species
GGAGGGGUGGCCGAGUGGCCGAAGGCAAUCGCCUGCUAAGCGAUUGAACGCUUAAUAGGUGUUCCCCGGGUUCAAAUCCCGGCCCCUCCG